rnacentral:tRNA from 4 species
GGGCCCGUCGUCUAGCCUGGUUAGGACGCCGCCCUGACGCGGCGGAGGUCCUGGGUUCAAGUCCCAGCGGGCCCA